AGUGAACGCUGGCGGUAGGCCUAACACAUGCAAGUCGAACGGCAGCACAGUAAGAGCUUGCUCUUACGGGUGGCGAGUGGCGGACGGGUGAGGAAUACAUCGGAAUCUACUUUUUCGUGGGGGAUAACGUAGGGAAACUUACGCUAAUACCGCAUACGACCUACGGGUGAAAGCAGGGGAUCUUCGGACCUUGCGCGACUGAAUGAGCCGAUGUCGGAUUAGCUAGUUGGCGGGGUAAAGGCCCACCAAGGCGACGAUCCGUAGCUGGUCUGAGAGGAUGAUCGGCCACACUGGAACUGAGACACGGUCCAGACUCCUACGGGAGGCAGCAGUGGGGAAUAUUGGACAAUGGGCGCAAGCCUGAUCCAGCCAUACCGCGUGAGUGAAGAAGGCCUUCGGGUUGUAAAGCCCUUUUGUUGGGAAAGAAAAGCAGCAGGUUAAUACCCCGCUGUCCUGACGGUACCCAAAGAACAAGCACCGGCUAACUUCGUG
rnacentral:rRNA from 1 species